rnacentral:rRNA from 1 species
UAUAAGGUCUAAUCUGCCCAAUGAGUAAUUGAAUGGCCGCGGUACUUUGACCGUGCAAAGGUAGCAUAAUAAUUAGUUUUUUAAUUGAAAGCUGGAAUGAAUGAUUGGACGAGAAAAUUACUGUCUCAGUUUAGAUUAACUUGAAUUUUAUUUUUAAGUAAAAAAGCUUAAAUUUAUUUAAAAGACGAGAAGACCCUAUAGAGUUUUAUAAAUUGAUUUAUAAUUUUAUAAAGGGAUAUUUUUGUGGUUAUAAUUUAUUUUAUUUUAUUGGGGCGAUAGAAAAAUUUAUUUAACUUUUUAUUUAUGAUAACAUUGAUAUAUGAAUUUUUGAUCCAAUUUUUUUGAUUAUAAGAUUAAAUUACCUUAGGGAUAACAGCGUAAUUUUUUUUUAGAGUUCUAAUCGAAAAAAAAGUUUGCGACCUCGAUGUUGGAUUAAAAUAAAUGUUUGGUGUAGAAGCUAAAUAAUUAGGUCUGUUCGACCUUUAAAAUUUUACA